rnacentral:rRNA from 1 species
AGUCUGAUGGAGCAACGCCGCGUGAGCGAUGAAGGCCUUCGGGUCGUAAAGCUCUGUUGUUAGGGAAGAACAAGUAUCGGAGUAACUGCCGGUACCUUGACGGUACCUAACCAGAAAGCCACGGCUAACUACGUGCCAGCAGCCGCGGUAAUACGUAGGUGGCAAGCGUUGUCYGGAAUUAUUGGGCGUAAAGCGCGCGCAGGCGGUCCUUUAAGUCUGAUGUGAAAGCCCMCGGCUCAACCGUGGAGGGUCAUUGGAAACUGGGGGACUUGAGUKCAGAAGAGGAAAGCGGAAUUCCACGUGUAGCGGUGAAAUGCGUAGAGAUGUGGAGGAACACCAGUGGCGAAGGCGGCUUUCUGGUCUGUAACUGACGCUGAGGCGCGAAAGCGUGGGGAGCAAACAGGAUUAGAUACCCUGGUAGUCCACGCCGUAAACGAUGAGUGCUAAGUGUUAGGGGGUUUCCGCCCCUUAGUGCUGCAGCUAACGCAUUAAGCACUCCGCCUGGGGAGUACGGCCG